rnacentral:lncRNA from 1 species
CCCAAAAAGGUCCCCCAUCGUUGUCCCCAUCGUCGACCCCAAUGUCCCCCAUCGUUGUCCCCAUUAUUGUCCCAAAUGUCCCCCAAAAUGGGACCCCAUUAUUGUCCCCAUCGUCGACCCCAAUGUCCCCCAUCGUUGUCCCCAUUAUUGUCCCCAACAUCCCCCAAAAUGGGACCCCAAAAAGGUCCCCCAUCCUUGUCCCCAUUGUUGUCCCCAAAGUCCGCCAUCGUUGUCCCCAUUAUUGUCCCCAACGUCCCCCCAAAAUGGGACCCCAUCAUUGUCCCCAUCGUUGACCCCAAUGUCCCCCAUCAUUGUCCCCAUUAUUGUCCCAAAUGUCCCCCAAAAUGGGACCCCAAAAAGGUCCCCCAUCAUUGUCCCCAAUGUUCCCCAAAAGGAUCCUCCAUCGUUGUCCCCAUUGUUGUCCCCAAUUGUCGCCAUGGGAAACGACCCCAAACUGGGGGGAAGUGGCCCCAAAAUGGAGGGGAAAUGACCCCAAAAUUGGGGGAAAUGGCCCUAAAUGGACGGGAAAUGACCCCAAAAUUGGGGGAAAUGGCCCCAAAUUGGGAGGAAGUGACCCCAAAAUUGGGGGAAAUGGCCCUGAAUGGAGGGGAAAUGACCCCAAAAUUGGAGGAAAUGGCCCUGAAAGGAGGGGAAAUGACCCCAAAAUUGGGGGAAAUGACCCCAAAUUGGGAGGAAAUGACCCCAAAAUUGGGGGAAAUGGCCCCAAAAUGGAGGGGAAAUGACCCCAAAAUUGGGGGAAAUGGCCCUGAAAGGAGGGGAAAUGACCCCAAACUGGGGGGGAAGUGACGCCAAAAUUGGGGGAAAUGGCCCUAAAUGGAGGGGAAAUGACCCCAAAAUUGGGGGAAAUGUCCCCAAAUGGAGGGGAAAUGACCCCAAAAUUGGGGAAAUGGUCCCAAAUUGGGAGGAAGUGACCCCAAAAUUGGGGGAAAUGGCCCCAAAACUGGGAGGAAGUGACCCUAAAAUUGGGGGAAAUGGCCCUGAAUGGAGGGGAAAUGACCCCAAAAUUGGAGGAAAUGGCCCUGAAAGGAGGGGAAAUGACCCCAAAAUUGGGGGAAAUGACCCCAAAUUGGGAGGAAAUGACCCCAAAAUUGGGGGAAAUGGCCCCAAAAUGGAGGGGAAAUGACCCCAAACUGGGGGGAAAUGGCCCUAAAAGGAGGGGAAAUGACCCCAAAUGGGAGGGGAAGUGACCCCAAAAUUGGGGGAAAUGUCCCAGAUGGGAGGGGAAAUGACCCCAAAAUAGGGGGAAGUGGCCCUGAAAGGAGGGGAAGUGACCCCAAAAUUGUGGGAAACGGCCCCAAAUGGGAGGGGAAGUGACCCCAAAAUUGGCGGAAAUGGUCCCAAAUUCGGAGGAAGUGGCCCCAAAAUUGGGGGAAAUGGCCCCAAAUGGAGGGGAAAUGACCCCAAAAUAGGGGGAAAUGGCCCUAAAAGGAGGGGAAAUGACCCCAAAUGGGAGGGGAAGUGACCCCAAAAUUGGGGGAAAUGGCCCCAAAAUUGGGGGAAAUGGCCCUAAAUGGAGGGGAAAUGACCCCAAACUGGGGGGAAAUGGCCCUAAAUGGACGGGAAAUGG